GACGAACGCUGGCGGCGUGCUUAACACAUGCAAGUCGAACGGAAAGGCCCUACUUUUGUGGGGUGCUCGAGUGGCGAACGGGUGAGUAACACGCGAGUAACCUGCCCUUGACUUUGGGAUAACUUCAGGAAACUGGGGCUAAUACCGGAUAGGAGCUCCUGCUGAAUGGUGGUAGCUGGAAGGUUUCGGCGGUUGGGGAUGUACUCGCGGCUUAUCAGCUCGUUGGUGGGGUAGUGGCUGACCAAGGUUUUGACGGGUAGCCGGCCUGAGAGGGUGUACGGCUCUAUUGGGACGGAGCUCCGGCCCAGACUAUUACGGGGGGCAGCAGUGGGGAAUAUUGCACAAUGGCAGGAAGCCUGAUGAAGAAGCGCGGCGCGCGGGCUGUCGGCCUUCGGGUUGUAAACCGCUUUCGUGUGUGACGAAGCGAGAUUGACGGUAAUGGGUAAAGAAGCACCGGCUACCUACGUG
rnacentral:rRNA from 1 species